rnacentral:rRNA from 1 species
AUUGAACGCUGGCGGCAUGCCUUACACAUGCAAGUCGAACGGUAACAGGUCUUCGGAUGCUGACGAGUGGCGAACGGGUGAGUAGUACAUCGGAACGUGCCUAAUAGUGGGGGAUAACUACUCGAAAGAGUGGCUAAUACCGCAUGAGAUCUACGGAUGAAAGCAGGGGAUCGCAAGACCUUGUGCUACUAGAGCGGCCGAUGGCAGAUUAGGUAGUUGGUGGGAUAAAAGCUUACCAAGCCGACGAUCUGUAGCUGGUCUGAGAGGACGAUCAGCCACACUGGGACUGAGACACGGCCCAGACUCCUACGGGAGGCAGCAGUGGGGAAUUUUGGACAAUGGGCGCAAGCCUGAUCCAGCAAUGCCGCGUGCAGGAUGAGGGCCUUCGGGUUGUAAACUGCUUUUGUACGGAACGAAAAGCCCCGGGUUAAUACCCUGGGGUCAUGACGGUACCGUAAGAAUAAGCACCGGCUAACUACGUGCCAGCCGCCGCCGUAA